rnacentral:rRNA from 1 species
AGCAUAUCAAUAAGCGGAGGAAAAGAAACCAACAGGGAUUGCCUCAGUAACGGCGAGUGAAGCGGCAUCAGCUCAAAUUUGAAAUCUGGCCUCACGGUCCGAGUUGUAAUUUGUAGAGAAUGCUUCGGGCGAGGUCCGGUCUAAGUUCCUUGGAACAGGACGUCAUAGAGGGUGAGAAUCCCGUAUGCGACCGGUCGCCUCUGCCCAUGUGAAGCUUCUUCGACGAGUCGAGUUGUUUGGGAAUGCAGCUCAAAAUGGGUGGUAUAUUUCAUCUAAAGCUAAAUAUUGGCCAGAGACCGAUAGCGCACAAGUAGAGUGAUCGAAAGAUGAAAAGCACUUUGGAAAGAGAGUUAAACAGUACGUGAAAUUGUUGAAAGGGAAGCGCUUGCAACCAGACUUGCGCGCAGCCGAUCAUCCGGUGUUCUCACCGGUGCACUCGGUUGCGCUCAGGCCAGCAUCGGUUCCGGCGGUUGGAUAAAGGCCUUGGGAAUGUGGCUUCCUUCGGGGAGUGUUAUAGCCCUCGGUGCAAUGCAGCCUGCUGGGACCGAGGACCGCGCUUCGGCUAGGAUGCUGGCGUAAUGGUUGUAAGCGACCCGUCUUGAAACACGGACCAAGGAGUCUAACAUCUAUGCGAGUGUUUGGGCGUCAAACCCAUACGCGUAAUGAAAGUGAACGGAGGUGAGAACCCUUAAGGGUGCAUCAUCGACCGAUCCUGAUGUCUUCGGAUGGAUUUGAGUAAGAGCAUAGCUGUUGGGACCCGAAAGAUGGUGAACUAUGCCUGAAUAGGGUGAAGCCAGAGGAAACUCUGGUGGAGGCUCGCAGCGGUUCUGACGUGCAAAUCGAUCGUCAAAUUUGGGUAUAGGGGCGAAAGACUAAUCGAACCAUCUAGUAGCUGGUUCCU